GGGAGGAGCAGCCUCCUUCCUCUUCCCGGUGAAGUCAGAGCAGGAUGCCGGCAACUACUCCUGUGAGGCUGAGAACAGCGUCUCCAGAGAAAGGAGUGAGCCCCAGAUGCUCUCCUUGGACGGUCCUCGGGUCUUGUCCACCCCUGCCGGUAGCAACCAUCUGGUUCCUUGGCUGCCUGCGAGCCUGCUCGGUGUGAUGGGCCUUGCUGUUGGACUUCUGGGUUAUUUCAGACCCUGG